rnacentral:lncRNA from 1 species
GAGGGUCACAUAUACAAAAAUAUUUAUAUUAAAUUUUGAUUCUUAAUUAUGUUACAAAAGUAAUAUGCGAUUUUUUAUUUUAUUUUUUUAGAUUUAUAUUAAAAAAAUUUCCUUUUUCGUCUUCUUCUUUUUAGUGAUCUUUUUCUCCUUAUUUUUCUUCUUUUUUUUCUCUUUAUCCAUUUUGUCGUUCUCAAUUUUCUUCUUAUUCUUUUUCUCCUUUUUCAUCAUUUUAGUCUUCUUUUUCAUUUCAUAAACCUAAACUUGCAUAAAUAUAAAACAUCUAAUAUAAACCAAAAUUUAUGAAAAAAACUAACAAUAAAAGUGUAAUUAACAAGUUUUGAUAGCAAAAUGAAAA